AACGAACGCUGGCGGCAUGCCUAACACAUGCAAGUCGAACGGGAUCCUAGCUUGCUAGGUGAGAGUGGCGGACGGGUGAGUAACACGUGGGAAUCUGCCUUUUGGUUCGGGAUAACCGCGGGAAACUGCGGCUAAUACCGAAUGCCCUCGAGAGAGGAAAGAUUUAUCGCCAGAAGAGGAGCCCGCGUCCGAUUAGGUAGUUGGUGGGGUAAAGGCCUACCAAGCCGACGAUCGGUAGCUGGUCUGAGAGGAUGAUCAGCCACACUGGGACUGAGAUACGGCCCAGACUCUACGGGAGGCAGCAGUGGGGAAUAUUGGACAAUAGGGGGCAACCCCUGAUCCAGCAAUGCCGCGUGAGUGAU
rnacentral:rRNA from 1 species